ACUGGGUUGGCCGAGUGGUUAAGGCGUUGGACUUAAGUUCCAAUGGACAAGUGUCCGCGUGGGUUCGAACCCCACACCCCGAG
rnacentral:tRNA from 1 species